rnacentral:rRNA from 1 species
GACGAACGCUGGCGGCGCGCCUAACACAUGCAAGUCGAACGGAGCUUAGAGAGCUUGCUUUUUAAGCUUAGUGGCGAACGGGUGAGUAACGCGUGAGUAACCUGCCCUAGAGUGGGGGACAACAGUUGGAAACGACUGCUAAUACCGCAUAAGCCCACGGUACCGCAUGGCACUGAGGGAAAAGGAUUUAUUCGCUUUAGGAUGGACUCGCGUCCAAUUAGCUAGUUGGUGAGGUAACGGCCCACCAAGGCGACGAUUGGUAGCCGGACUGAGAGGUUGAACGGCCACAUUGGGACUGAGACACGGCCCAGACUCCUACGGGAGGCAGCAGUGGGGGAUAUUGCACAAUGGGGGAAACCCUGAUGCAGCGACGCCGCGUGGAGGAAGAAGGUUUUCGGAUUGUAAACUCCUGUCGUUAGGGACGAUAAUGACGGUACCUAACAAGAAAGCACCGGCUAACUACGUGCCAGCAGCCGCGGUAAAACGUAGGGUGCAAGCGUUGUCCGGAAUUACUGGGUGUAAAGGGAGCGCAGGCGGGAAGACAAGUUGGAAGUGAAAACCAUGGGCUCAACCCAUGAAUUGCUUUCAAAACUGUUUUUCUUGAGUAGUGCAGAGGUAGAUGGAAUUCCCGGUGUAGCGGUGGAAUGCGUAGAUAUCGGGAGGAACACCAGUGGCGAAGGCGGUCUACUGGGCACCAACUGACGCUGAGGCUCGAAAGCAUGGGUAGCAAAAA